rnacentral:misc_RNA from 1 species
CUGGAACUGUGUCCGCAAGGACACAACCCCAGAUACCCUUUGUGAACUUAUUUUUAUCGUUGCCUCGGCGCUGAGCUGGGAGCCCUUUUUGGUGCUCUCCCAUGGCCCCUGACUUUUGUCAGAACCAUGGAGCAAGCCCGCCGGCGGCCCAUUAAACUAUUAUUUUUAACUUGUUUCUCUGAGUUUUUAAAACAUAAAUGAAUCA